rfam:Schistosoma mansoni strain Puerto Rico chromosome 3, complete genome
GCACUGCUGAGUAGUUCCACAAUAGGACGAAACGGCCGUCCAGUGC